rnacentral:rRNA from 1 species
GACGAACCGUGCGAACGUUGUUCGGAAUCACUGGGCUUAAAGGGCGCGUAGGCGGGCUGCCGCGUCCCGGGGGUGAAAUCCUCCGGCUCAACCGGGGGAACGGGCACCGAUACGGGCGGCCUGGAGGGGGGGUAGGGGGGCCUGGAACUUCCGGUGGAGCGGUGAAAUGCGUUGAGAUCGGAAGGAACGCCCGUGGCGAAAGCGAGGCCCUGGACCCUUACUGACGCUGAGACGCGAAAGCCAGGGGAG